UCUUUUCUGAUUUGUAGUACAUAUUUGUUAAAGAAAAUAUAGAAAACCUACAGGAGAAAGGAGGAUAUUAUCCACAAUCAUACCACCAAAGAGACACUUUCCUAGAAGUGGAAUCACUGUUUCGAAGGCUCUUGUUAUAUGCUGGUUAAUUGUCCCCCUCAACUCCCCCCACCUGAAGUGUUACAUCAGUUUACAAUCUCAUUAAUCAGUGGCUAUGACAGUGCCAUCUCACUGCACCUUUGCCAGCACUGUGAAUUAUUAUAUUCUUUUACGUGGAAGGUUGCCUUUUCAGAGUCAUGCUCAGCUGACUGACAGCAUAAGCUUUGAACGUAGCAGCGAAUUUCUUUGUGUUUAUUAGCAGAGCUUAGCAGAUCUACAUGUGGGAGUGCUAGAAAACUUGGGGAGGAAAGAAGGCUGUAUCUAAUCCACAGGCAGCCAUGUGUACAGAGAGGGAGAGAGGAGACCUGUGUAUGAGGUGGU
rnacentral:lncRNA from 1 species